rnacentral:lncRNA from 1 species
ACCCCUGAUAAUAUCAGGGACCAAACCAUCUCGACGAUUAGGUCAACUCUUAACCUAAUCGGGUCAAACCCAACUGAAUCCAAUUCAAUUGGACUUGAUCCAAAAUUAAUUACAUAAUCAAAUUGAGUUAAUUAGUGAUCAAAUCAUUAAUUAAACCUCUCAUAAAUAUUGAGUCCAAAUCCGAUGGGUAAUCAGGCAUCAGAAUUCAUCGAUAUGUAACCCUGAUCGAAGAGUCCUAAACCAAUGGGACUCUUGACCCCGGUACCCAAAAUGUGUGGAAUUCAUGAUCAGAGAAUCUUGAUUCUCGAUCACAGAAUCUCAGACAUGAAGGACUCUUAGUCCAUGAGCAUUAGGACUCUUCAUCAGCCAUCAGAUCAGAUAGGAAUCUCUAAUGUGUAUGACCCCGCAGGUUCGAACCUAAGUCGGUAGCACAGGAAUCAAUUUCUGUACUAAUCAAAGUGACUAUCUAGCAAUGGUACCCG